CAUACAGGGAACCUGCGUCCCCUUCCCCUCCUGUUGGACUCCGUGGUGGCUCUCGCGGUUUCGCUUUCUACCACCAGUCACAGACCUGGCUUCGAUGCGAGACCUUCGCAAUCGCUGCGGAGGGAAUCUGGCCUCCUCCACUCAGCACAGAAUACAUUCCCAAAGACUUUCAUUACCAAAGUGCCGGUACCCACAAAACCUCCUGGAUCGGAGGCCCUGCUUCUGAAUGAGGGUACGUGGUUCGUGGUCUGAUGGAUCCAGAUUUCAACUACAGAACUGGAUCGGGGGAGCCUAACACUCCGGUGGGGGGAGGCA